rnacentral:rRNA from 1 species
CCUACGGGAGGCAGCAGUAGGGAAUUUUCGUCAAUGGGCGCAAGCCUGAACGAGCAAUGCCGCGUGAACGAGGAAGGUCUUCGGAUCGUAAAGUUCUGUUGAAGGGGAAAAAGAGCGGAGAGAGGAAAUGAACUCCGAUUGAUAUUACCCUUCGAGGAAGUCACGGCUAACUACGUGCCAGCAGCCGCGGUAAU